UACGGGGGGGAGCAAGCGUUUGUUCGGAUUUACUGGGCGUAAAGGGCGCGUAGGCGGCGCAACAAGUCACUUGUGAAAUCUCCGGGGCUUAACCCGGAGCGGCCAAGUGAUACUGUCGUGCUAGAGUGCGGGAAGGGGGCUACUGGAAUUCUCGGUGUAGCGGUGAAAAUGCGCAGAUAUCAGGAGGAACACCAGUGGCGAAGGCGGCACUCUGGGCCGGUACUACGUGAGGAGCGAAAGCUGGGGAGCGAA
rnacentral:rRNA from 1 species